UACGUAGGGGGCGAGCGUUGUCCGGAGUUACUGGGCGUAAAGCGCUUGUAGGCGGUCCACCAAGUUUGGGGUGACAGUUGCCGACUUAAUCGGCAAAGUGCCUCAAAGACUGGCGGACUUGAGGGCCACAGAGGGACAUGGAACUCCAGGUGUAGUGGUGAAAUGCGUAGAUAUCAGGAGGAACACCGGUGGCGAAGGCGGGUCUCUGGGCCGAUACUGACGCUGAGGAGCGAAAGCGUGGGGAGCGAACAGG
rnacentral:rRNA from 1 species